UUCGGGUUGUAAAGCACUUUUGUUGGGGAAGAAAAGCACUCAAUUAAUACCUGGGUGUUCUGACGGUACCCAAAGAAUAAGCACCGGCUAACUUCGUGCCAGCAGCCGCGGUAAUACGAAGGGUGCAAGCGUUACUCGGAAUUACUGGGCGUAAAGCGUGCGUAGGUGGUGAGUUAAGUCUGUCGUGAAAGCCCUGGGCUCAACCUGGGAAUGGCGAUGGAUACUGGCUCGCUAGAGUGCGGUAGAGGAGAGUGGAAUUCCCGGUGUAGCAGUGAAAUGCGUAGAGAUCGGGAGGAACAUCAGUUGCGAAGGCGGCUCUCUGGACCAGCACUGACACUGAGGCACGAAAGCGUGGGGAGCAAACAGGAUUAGAUACCCUGGUAGUCCACGCCCUAAACGAUGCGAACUGGACGUUGGGAGCAAUCAGGCUCUCAGUGUCGAAGCUAACGCGUUAAGUUCGCCGCCUGGGGAGUACGGUCGCAAGACUGAAACUCAAAGGAAUUGACGGGGGCCCGCACAAGCGGUGGAGUAUGUGGUUUAAUUCGAUGCAACGCGAAGAACCUUACCUGGCCUUGACAUCCACGGAAGUCUGCAGAGAUGCGGAUGUGCCUUCGGGAACCGUGAGACAGGUGCUGCAUGGCUGUCGUCAG
rnacentral:rRNA from 1 species